CAGCUCCCCCGCAACCCUCUAGAGGAUAAGCAAUAAAGAAAAUGAAUGGAUGGAUUACAUUUUUACAUGAGGAAUGGUCAUACAGGUGGGAUGUUUCUCUCUUCAUCUAAGCUUUUAUAAAUUCCCACAGACUUUCUAGCAUGUCACAUGAAAAAGCAGGACAGGUACAUCCGUCAAAGCCCAAUUGAAGUGAGCGUCAGCAUCAACCAUCUGACAGAGGCAAGAGGUGUGAAAUUAUGUGUUGUUUCAAGUGAAAAAGAUAUGAUUUACUGUCUGACGUCCUGAUGUGAAUGUCUGACAUUUGAUCACGAUGGGUAGAUCACAAAAAUCCCAUCCCAUCCACUCAACUUUGGUGCUGGUAUGUUUGUCAAUGGGAAACUCUCUUUUCACACAGAACGUGACAGAUCAAAACACAUAAAAUACAGAACGUCACUUGAACAGCGAGUAGAAGUUCCUGCUAGGGGAAGUUUGACUUACUGAACCUAUUUACCACCACCCAUCUACCUACUGCUGUGUUCAAAGUCAGAACUCAGGCUUCUCAGACUAUGAAAAAUAAAGUAAAAAAAAGGUCCUAGUCAGGAGGUAGGAUGUGAUGUGCUUACACUGCCAACAGACCACAGUUUCUGGUGCUUGUGAGGAUCCAAACUAACGUAUCCCCAUGUUGUUAGCUCAAAUGCACAGAGGUUAGUAAUGAUGCAUAACCAAAUUUUGACUUUUUACAAGAGAAUGUAGCAUAAUAGCGCAGAAAAACUAACCUUUCAUUUUAAUGAGGAAGGGGUCAAGGAACAUUUGCCUGUACAUACUUGUUUGUAACUGAAGUAAGCAGGAGAGCAGGAGGGUGCAAGGACAGGGAUAUUUGGUAAUGUAUUUAAGUAUUUGAGAAAAUUGUGCUAGCCUCACUAUCUUAUGUAGUUUAUGUAUGCAAUAUUACUUCUUUUCCCACUUGCUUUCCACCAAAGUGAACAAGUAAAUUUCACCCUGCCAGCUCUGGUCUUUCAGACAGUGAGAAGUUACUGCUUCAGCUGCUCGUAAACAGUAGUGGUGUAUUUUGAAUGGGUGGCUGUCAUGAUUCCAGCCUCGGUUUAUUUGUUUCCAUUGUGCCUCUGUCCCUGCCUUCAGCCCCGUACUGUCUUCCCUUGGUUUUGCCGUUCUCCACCUGUCCACCAGAUGCCCCCAGACUUUCUUGCAUUGUUCCCCACACCCACCUGCUCACCUGUUGCAACUCCCCAAUUAUCCUCACCUGCUGCUCAUUGUCUCAUCAGCCCCACUAGCUUAUAUAAUGGACCUCUGCCCUCCAUUCCUUGCUAGUUCAUCAACAUUGCUUUGUUGUAUAUAGACCUUCUGCCUGUUUGUAACCUGCCUGCCUUGCUCUCUUAGUCUUGUUUGGAUGGCCUUUCUGUUGCUGACCUGUAAGCCUGGUUUUGAACAUUCAUUUAUUAAAGCCCUUUUCUUUCAACCUGUCCGUCCCUGGUGUCUGCGUUUGCAUCCUCUUCCUGUUUGCCCCGCUACCUCAUACCCACACCCAUGACAGUUAACAGUGGGGCAUAACUUAACUGCCGCAGCUACUGGCUACAUCUAAGCCUACAACCUGUGGCAGAUGGUACCAUCCACCCUGUCUAAUUUCAACAGACUUUUAUUCCUUAAAUACAGACACUAGAGACAUUGACAGGAAAUGAGGAAGAGAACUGCAACACACCCUGGCCAGACUUGAACCAUGGACAUUGUGGUUAAUGAUGGCCCCUCAACCUCUAAACCACAGACUGGUCUGAUACAUGCUAGCGUGGUGUGAGGACUGGAGAUGUGCAGAUGAGAUGUGACUCCAGGUAACUCCAAAGUUACCUUCCAGUAUUUGCAUGUUGUGCCUUCUUAGCCGGCUUGCUAACGUUACCCACUGGUAAGUGUGUAACAUUGUGGGUGUGGGUACUUUGAAGUUGUUUAAAGUGCUGCUGGUGAGUGACGAAAGUAAAGUAACGAGUAAUGUAACUAAUUACUUUUGCUGUGUGAUUACAUUUUUCAAGUAGUUUUCCCAACACUGGUCCUCUACACUGGCUUACAUGAUCACUGUUGAUACUGUAAGCCUAAUUUGAUGAAAAAAUGUAGAAUAAGCUGAUAGUGAAACCUGUGGCUUCAAGUGAUUAGCGCAAAUGAAAAGCAAACACCCCAACACACACACACACAACCACAGGGGACUGAUAUUUUUAGUCAUGCUAUUCGAUCAACCUGGCUGGCCACUAUAAUGAGGUGAGGGAGAUGGAGGCUGGUUCCUUUCACAGGUCAGCGGACUGACAAAGCCCAGUGUCACAGCCUGGAACCUGGGAGCUGUCUGCUUGCUAGAGUCUGUCUGGGCUACGUGUGCCUGUAUGGGAAUGAUCUGUAUUCAUCUCCACUGCGCUGUGGCCCGCUUCUAUUUAAUAUGUGCCUGCUGUAGCCUCCCAGCCAUCACCUGGCACUGCAGAGUUCAUUCUCAGCGUGUGUUUUUAUCAGCACCUCUAGUUGCUCGCUGCUGAUGAGAACAGCCCCAGCUCAAAGUACCAUCUCAUACCGCAAUCACACCCAUCGAGGUUCAGGGGGAAAAAAACAGGGAAAAAUGAAGAAACUACCCGGUGUGGCGUGGCAGGUGAAAGAGUUCGGCCUUAACUCCUCCUGCUGAACUGAGUCGGGGCUGAUAGAGGACUAAAAGUCAGCCAUCUCCUUGGGGAUAAAGACUUUUAAAGCUGUUAAUCCUCAGUCUGUGGAUGAUUGAGGUGAACGUCUGACAUUUGAAGCCUUUUAUGUUAAAGUUUCCAAAGCUUACGGCUGUGUGUGUACGUGUGUGUGUUCUGUAGCAAUGUAGCUUUGCCAAGACAAUAAAGGUGGUAAACUUUCAGAGGAACGUCCUGUGUGUGUGUGUGUAUGAGUUGGACACACAAAAGGGGAAAUCUGAGCGGUUCUCUUGCCCAGACUAUGACAGCUUGCUGCUCCUGUGCUUAUGAAAAUAAAUGCUGACGAGUGUUGAACUGGCUGGGGUGCGCAGGUGUCA